GAUGAAGAACGCAGUGAAAUGCGAUAAGUAAUGCGAAUUGCAGAAUUUCCGUGAGUCAUCGAAUCUUUGAACGCACAUUGCGCCCACUGGUAUUCCGGUGGGCAUGCCUGUUCGAGCGUCAUUUCAACCCUCAAGCACAGCUUGGUGUUGGGACUCGCGUUAAUUCGCGUUCCUCAAAUUGAUUGGCGGUCACGUCGAGCUUCCAUAGCGUAGUAGUAAAACCCUCGUUACUGGUAAUCGUCGCGGCCACGCCGUUAAACCCCAACUUCUGAAUGUUGACCUCGGAUCAGGUAGGAAUACCCGCUGAACUUAAGCAUAUCAAUAAGCGGAGGA
rnacentral:misc_RNA from 1 species